rfam:Methanosarcina sp. MTP4, complete genome.
GCCGCCAUAACUCAGUUGGUAGAGUGUCUGGCUGUUAACCAGAAUGUCGUAGGUUCGAGCCCUGCUGGCGGCG